ensembl:miRNA
CUGGCUCACUUUGUAGCCCAGGCUGGCCUUAAACUCUCAGUGAUCCUCCUGCCUCAGCCUCCUGAGUGCUGGGAU